UGACCUCAAAUCAGGUAGGACUACCCGCUGAACUUAAGCAUAUCAAUAAGCGGAGGAAAAGAAACUAACAAGGAUUCCCCUAGUAACUGCGAGUGAAGCGGGAAAAGCUCAAAUUUAAAAUCUGGCAGUCUUACUGUCCGAGUUGUAAUCUAGAGAAGCAUUAUCCGCGUUGGACCGUGUACAAGUCUCCUGGAAUGGAGCGUCAUAGAGGGUGAGAAUCCCGUCUUUGACACGGACUGCCAAGGCUUUUGUGAUGUGCUCUCAAAGAGUCGAGUUGUUUGGGAAUGCAGCUCAAAAUGGGUGGUAAAUUCCAUCUAAAGCUAAAUAUUGGCGAGAGACCGAUAGCGAACAAGUACCGUGAGGGAAAGAUGAAAAGAACUUUGGAAAGAGAGUUAAACAGUACGUGAAAUUGCUGAAAGGGAAACGCUUGAAGUCAGUCGCGUUGAUCAGAGAUCAACCUUGCUUUUGCUUGGUGUACUUUCUGGUUUGACGGGUCAGCAUCAAUUUUGAUCAUUGGAAAAAGGUCAAGGGAAUGUGGCAUCUUCGGAUGUGUUUAUAGCCCUUGGUUGUAUGCAAUGAUUGAGAUUGAGGAACUCAGCACGCCGCAAGGCCGGGUUUUUAACCACGUACGUGCUUAGGA
rnacentral:rRNA from 2 species